rnacentral:rRNA from 1 species
GCGGCGGACGGGUGAGUAACACGUGGGUAACCUGCCUGUAAGACUGGGAUAACUCCGGGAAACCGGGGCUAAUACCGGAUGCUUGAUUGAACCGCAUGGUUCAAUUAUAAAAGGUGGCUUCUGCUACCACUUACAGAUGGACCCGCGGCGCAUUAACUAGUUGGUGAGGUAACGGCUCACCAAGGCCACGAUGCCUAACCGACCUGAGAGGGUGAUCGGCCACACUGGGACUGAAACACGGCCCAAACUCCUACGGGAGGCAGCAGUAGGGAAUCUUCCGCAAUGGACGAAAGUCUGACGGAACAACCCCCCGUGAGUGAUGAAGGUUUUCCGAUCGUAAAACUCUGUUGUUAGGGAAAAACAAGUACCGUUCCAAUAGGGCGGUACCUUGACGGUACCUAACCCAAAAGCCACGGCUAACUACCUGCCAACCGCCCCGGUAAUACCUAAGUGGCAAGCGUUGUCCGGAAUUAUUGGGCGUAAAGCGCGCGCAGGCGGUUUCUUAAGUCUGAUGUGAAAGCCCCCGGCUCAACCGGGGAAGGUCAUUGGAAACUGGGGAACUUGAGUGCAGAAGAAGAGAGUGGAAUUCCACGUGUAACGGUGAAAUGCGUAGAGAUGUGGAGGAACACCAGUGGCGAAAGCGACUCUCUGGUCUGUAACUGACGCUGAAGCGCGAAAGCGUGGGGAGCGAACAAGGAUUAGAUACCCUGGUAGUCCACG